rnacentral:rRNA from 1 species
GACGAACGCUGGCGGCGUGCUUAACACAUGCAAGUCGAACGAAGAGCGAUGGAAGCUUGCUUCUCUCAAUCUUAGUGGCGAACGGGUGAGUCACGCGUAAUCAACCUGCCCUUCAGAGGGGGACAACAGUUGGAAACGACUGCUAAUACCGCAUACGAUCUAAUCUCGGCAUCGAGGAUAGAUGAAAGGUGGCCUCUACAUGUAAGCUAUCACUGAAGGCGGGGAUUGCGUCUGAUUAGCUAGUUGGAGGGGUAACGGCCCACCAAGGCGAUGAUCAGGAGCCGGUCUGAGAGGAGGAACGGCCACAUUGGGACUGAGACACGGCCCAGACUCCUACGGGAGGCAGCAGUGGGGAAUCUUCCGCAAUGGACGAAAGUCUGACGGAGCAACGCCGCGUGAGUGAUGACGGCCUUCGGGUUGUAAAGCUCUGUUAAUCGGGACGAAAGGCCUUCUUGCGAAUAGUGAGAAGGAUUGACGGUACCGGAAUAGAAAGCCACGGCUAACUACGUG